rnacentral:rRNA from 1 species
UGAGUGAUGAAGGCCUUAGGGUUGUAAAGCUCUUUCACCGGAGAAGAUAAUGACGGUAUCCGGAGAAGAAGCCCCGGCUAACUUCGUGCCAGCAGCCGCGGUAAUACGAAGGGGGCUAGCGUUGUUCGGAAUUACUGGGCGUAAAGCGUGCGCAGGCGGUUCGCUAAGACAGAUGUGAAAUCCCCGGGCUUAACCUGGGAACUGCAUUUGUGACUGGCGGGCUAGAGUAUGGCAGGGGGGGGUAGAAUUCCACGUGUAGCAGUGAAAUGCGUAGAGAUGUGGAGGAAUACCGAUGGCGAAGGCAGCCCCCUGGGCCAAUACUGACGCUCAUGCACGAAAGCGUGGGGAGCAAACAGGAUUAGAUACCCUGGUAGUCCACGCCCUAAACGA